GCACGCGCAUAGCAGCCUGCGGCCCUCAUUCUGCGCAGGCGCGAGAGCGGCCCACAGCUGCUCUGCAGCGACCGGUCCGUCCGGCGUCUGAAAUUGUCAAACAGCCGCACACCCGAGUCUCGCCGCCUUCGCACUUCCCCAGUGACACAGAGGCAGAGUGGCCGUAGCUGUGGCCGUGGAGCAGACCAGCCUGGGAGCCAGAUGAGCAGAGAGAUCUGUGUGCACUCCUGGCCUUGCUGCUACUACUUAGAACCGGAGAAGCGAUGGGUUCCUGGAAAGCUUUCAUUAACUUCUCACUCCCUGAGAUUUGUGACGGAUAAAACCGGGGAGGCUGUGGUCAGCUUCCCCCUGUCUGGUGUGACUGAGAUCAAGAAGGAGGCUUCUCACUUUGUCUUCAGUUCUAUCACCAUCCUGGAGAAGGACCACCUCAAGCACUGGUUCAGCUCCUUGCAGCCCAGUAGGAAUGCAGUCUUCAGCAUCAUUGAGCAUUUCUGGAGAGAGUUGCUGCUGUCUCCGUCGGAAGCACCGCUGCCUGUGACCAAGGGGAAGCAGCUGACGGGUCUGAUGGCCUGUUCCCAGAAGAGCCUGGAAGAGACAGCCCGAGUCCUCCACCAUCAGGGCGAGCAGCUGGACAGCAUCAGCAGGGGCCUGGACAAGAUGGAAUCUGACCUGGACGUGGCUGACAGGUUGCUUACAGAGCUGGAGUCCCCUUCUUGGUGGCCCUUUAGCUCCAAGCUUUGGAAGAUGCCAGCAGAAACAAAGCCCAAGGGAGGCACCUCAACAGCUAGUCCCAAAGCUCUUGGAAAAGAAGGGGUCAUGGUCCGAAUUCCUGCUGUUAUCUCCCAGGGGACAGCAUCUCAUGUUAAAGCAGGAAGUCUCACCAUCCUUGUGUCUGGGUUGGAAAUCCAUGACUCGAGUUCUUUGCUCAUGCACAGAUUUGAAAGGGAAGAUAUAGAUGAUGUUAAGGUUCACACGCCUUAUGAAAUAAGCAUCCGCCAGCGGUUCAUCGGGAAGCCCGACAUAGCUUAUCGCCUGAUAUCUGCCAGGAUGCCAGAGGCUAUCCCCAUUUUGGAGGUGCAGUUCAGCAAGAAGAUGGAGUUGUUAGAAGGCGCCUUGACAUCCAGAAGCACCAGAACGCCUUCGCCUGCAGAGAAGGGCUGCUCCGUCUGGCAGGCGGCGUCUGGGCUGAUGGACCCUGCCAUGCAUCGCGAGCCCUGCUCAGGGAGCCAGGAGGGCCAGUCGCUUCCGCUGCAGAUGAGUGAGCCGUUCGUUUCCGAGGGGGACGCCCAGGAACUGAGACAGUUUUGGUUUGCAGCUUCCUGACUCGGUUUCCCUGGUUCCUAGCUCACGAUUUCUUCGGAUCCAGGCUCUACUUUGGAGAGGCCGUGUCAUCCCUGGCACCACACACUUCCACCAGGACACACAGGAAGACGGACUGCUCCGGCUCUUCAGGGCUGCUUGCAAUUCCAAUGGAUUUGAGGAUCCAUUCUCCCAUUCCUGGGGGAAUAAAGAGGCUGCUGGAAACAUGAUACGGAUUCCGUUGAAUGUGCAGGUCACUUGGAGGUGUCUUGUCGUCUUGCCAGUAUUAAGUCUUGCAGUCCAGGAACACAGGUCAUCCCUCAUUAUUUCGGUGUCUUUAAUUUCUUUCAGUGUGAUGUGUGGUUUUUAGGCUUUUAUGUCUAUUGUAUUCUGGGAUGAGUCCGAUUUGGAUCCCAUCGUGACCCGAUGGCGAGCGGGCUGGUCCCCAGGUUCCCCCACUAGCCCGUGGACCUUGAGAGGCCACUGGGAACUGGAGUGAGGGCUGACAGACCCCUGAAGACUCCACUAUCAGAGUCUCGCUGUGGGGACGCAGCUCUGUGGGGACCUGGUGCAUUAGCUUCCCCCCACCCCCGCACAGAGAGGGAGUCUGGAGGAGGGGGCCGCAGCAGGGGCCUCCAUAGAAGAGAACCCUGUGCCGCUGUCCACAGAUAACCCUUGGGGCCUCAAGGGAUGCAGCAGAAGGGACGGGGUGGGACGCAGGGGUGGUCUGUGAGUGCUGAAUGUGACAGAUUGUAGCCUAGAAUGUUCUUUACAGCCUCCAGAGCUUUGGCUGUGCUGGAAGCCAGCUUUUCCCUCUUUACCUUCUCUAUAGCAUAUUAAUGGGCCCAACUGGUAGAACUAUUUGGAGUUGCAGACAGCUUGAUUUAUCCCAGCUCUGUUCUUAAAUGGUUGCUAAUUUCUCACUCAAGAAAAUUCACAGGUUUUCAGUGAGUCAACUUAAUAACAAGAUCAGGGCAGACAGUCUGGCUAAUACUAAACUCACUUUAGGUCUUCAUAUGAAUAUGAUAAUACUCUGAAUGCUGGAGUCUCAUCAGGAAGUGGAACAAAACAUUUUCUUUCAGACCAUCAGUGAGGCCACUAGCACGUUAUGGAUGUGCUGGAAACAUGAGGGUCCCGCGCUUCCGUGCCCCACGUUCUGCCCUGCUGCACUUACACUGUGAACGCCCAAGGCUGGACGCUCCAGGGGCCUCUGAGCCCCUGCUUCCCACACCUGGAUGGCUGGCAUGAGGUGCCCACGUUUAAACACAUCUGCUCUGGUCAGUGGACCUCCUCUGCUGGAUGAGCUGUUCUCCCGUUUGUAUAAACAAGAUGGAAACGUCUCCGUAUCUGCUCGCAUCUGUGGUGUCCGGAGAUAGAGGCCAGAAUGGCAGAGAGCAUGGGAGUGUCUGCUCUGUCCUGGGGACCGCGUGGCGCCCCCUGCCUCCAGCCAGGGCAUCUGGGCCAUGUGUCCCCACCCCCCUCGGUCACGGACGCCCCCUGCCUAUGGGGCACUGAGCCUCAGACUUGGCUGAGCGCCUGCAGCCGUUGGGCUGCAGAUUGCUGAGUGUUUCUGCGGCUUCUGUCCCGAUGCUGCUCCCGGACGGCCUCCCGCCUCUGCUCAGCUUGGCACACUUUCUGUGUAGGAGCGGAUGUGUCUGCCGAGAUGGCUGGUCAGCGGCUUACUUACUGGCAUGGCAGGGGCUCGAGGAAAAGAACACGGGGCCUGGUCGGAGGCUCCCCUGAGCGGCCAGCUGAUACUUCAGAGCUUGGCGGUGUGACAUACUGAUGACUAGACGGCUUGUCAUCCUGGGCCGCAGAAGUCACAAGUGCGUGAAGGUCUGGCCAGACUUCACGCUCCCCGUUCUUUCCACCCUGUGUUCUGUGGAAUGCACAUGAUGGCAUUUAAUGUCUCCAGUCCCGUCCUUAAAGGGAAAGACUCUGGACCGAUACUCCAGAGGGACUCUUAGUUCGAAGCUUCCUCAGUAAUUUUCUUUGCAGACUCGGUAGCUGUGCAGAUCACUUGGGUUUUUGCAGUAUUGGUUCAUUUCAAGCGCAGUUUGAAGCAUUUCCAGCUGUGAAGGAGGGGUCUUGGUGAGACGUUUCCAAAACCAGACAGUUCAGCAGGAGCGAGCCCCUGUGUAUAGUACAGACCCCAUAAACGCCCAGCUUUCGUAGGCAGGUCAGUUGGUCUUGCUCACAAAGUAAGCGUUGUGCCUACUGUCUCUGUGUGUCUGUGCGUAAGAAGCAUAGGCUCUGGACCCUGUGAAUUCCUCCCGGUGCUGCUGCUUCUGUGGGCAGGGAGGCAGCAGGGGCCCACACGGAGCACGGCCCUCGGUGGGAGAGCCGUGCACAGAUGUGUCGUGAGUAUACCAUUCACCAGAUGUCAAAGGAUGGAUCUCGUUCGUUCUUUAUGUUGAUUUCAUGUUGGAACGAUAGUGUUCUUAUUUGGUUGGGUUAAACAGGAUGCAUUAUUAAAAUUAAUGAUGCUUAUCAUUUUUUAUGGGGCAUCUGACUGGCUCUGUCGGAGGAGCACGUGAGUCUUGAUGUUUGAGCCCCAUGUGAGGAUGUAGAGAUGACUUAAAUAAGCUAAACUUUUAAAAAUGCUUAUCAUUUUUACUGUUGAAAACGUGAGUGUUAGAAAAUCUGAAGUCACAGGUGUGGCUCUCCUCACCGGGGACCUUUGCCAUAUGUAGCUGCUCACGGCUCCAGGAGCGGGCCCGGGUCUUGCGCCCUCUUCCCGCGGCUGCUUGAAUGGCUUGCUGACCCCUGGUGAAGGCCCUUUUGCCUUUUGAAGGAACGUGUGCAGCAUGAGCCUGUGAGUGUGCGGCUGUGACGGCGGCAUCUCACGGAGACCCCUGGUGUCCACGGGUGCAUCCUGUCCAGGCCAUGCUCUGAGCUGGCCGUGGAGCUUGGGGUGUUGGGCACACCCUCUCAGCCCGGUGUGUGGAACAGUCGUUUGAGGGUCACAGAGCCCCACAGCCCUCACCCUCAUCUGGGACGAGUGGGGACGAGGAAGCAGGAGACAGAGCUGCUUGGCUGCGUGCCUCCACCCCCAGGGUCACGUGUCCGUGCCAGCCUACGGGCAUGUGAUGGAAGGACGCUGGGCACACAGGCGCCCCCGUGUCACCAGCAGUGCUUGUCCAACGGGCACAGAUGGCAUCCUGGUUUGGGACAAUGUGUAUUUUCUUCUCUGGUCCUGUGUCCUGACUUCCUACUUGGAGUAGGAGUCCUGGAGCAGGAUCGUGGGCCAUCCACACAGGUGUGGUGGUGACCGCUCACCGCCCAGAGCCUGCUGGGCCCUGAAGGACACUUGACGUGGUUGACAAGGACAGCGCGUGCGGUCUGAUCACCCCAUGCAGGGUGGGGGCCGCUCCUGGGAGUGAGAUCAGGUGCAAGCGGGUGGCAGAGGCCAGCCUCCCCGGGGCUGUAUGUGUGCAUGCCUGGCUGAGCGGCCUCCUUAGUGCACGGAACAGCGCGGGCCGGCCGGGAGGGGUCGUGGAACAGAGAGGGGCUUGAGGACCCGCCUCCCACGGUGCGGAGCUGCGACUGUUUAUUGCACCAUUUGGGCCUCAGCCAUAUGAGGUCAUAGGAACGCGAUGGAAAAGACCUCCUGUAUGAGGUCAUCCAACCCGUCCCUCGGAGCCGACUGACCCCACGGUAUACUUUCCAGAGCUCCGUCCAGUUUUUCCAGUGACUCAGCGGCUCCCAGAGGGCGCAGAAGGCUGCUGUCUGAGCCUGCUACCUGGGGUUAGGAUUUGUUCCUCCGUGCCUGGACGGAGCUCCCAGGGAUGGUGCCAUGUUGGCAGAGAUGUGGGCACGGCCUGCCUCUGCCACAACCGUGUGUGACUGCAGAUGGCCUCAGGUCCCUCUACAGCAUGCGUGCGGCGCAGGGCUCCUGCCUCUGAACCCUCCAGGACUUGGCAGGGGCACCUCAUCUCGCACUUUAUAGUUUUCACAGCCUGUCCACAUUGUGCGCUCAGUCCAGCCUCCCCUUUCCUGAGGAAGGACUUGAUCUUAUUACCCUCUGGCCACCUCCCUGCCUCCUUUCUGGUCCUCGUGUGUCAGACGACGCGGCUUGCCCACGUGCUGGUGGGCAGUGCGAGUCUGCUUGGUGUGAGCGCAAGGCGCCGUGGGUCACACCUUCCCCCGGGGUGCUGCGCUUUCCUUGUCCUGGGGCGGCUCCCAGGCGGCAGGUCAGCGGGCUGUGCCCGUGAGGGUGAGGUCCGUGUGUGUGGCAUGGUGCGCUGCCAGCUGCGCCAGAUCUGGGGCCCUCGCCACUGACCUCCAUCCCCACGGGGCUGAGGAUGGACGCGUCUGUAUGUGGUUGGUCCUCGGGGACUUGGUAACGGGCACCCAGGACUGUGCUGAUGAUUCGCAGUGUGCAGUUCCUUUGUCUUGACCUAACCGGGGAUCUGAAACUUCCCCUAAAAGAGGCAUUAACAUUUAUUGCAAGUAGUUGGUCAUUAAGGUUUCUCUUAAAAUCAUUCCUUUUUGUUGUCAGCUUGAGGAUAUUAAAUUUUUAAACGCAGGCUCCCCACGCAUGUAGUUAAAGUACGUUUCGCAAUGCAAGUAGUCUCAAUAGGAUUGCAAUAAAGUGGCUGUUCUUAGCAGUGUGUGAGACGUAGGAAGCAUGACAUGAGUCCCAGAGAUGGGGUGAGGGGCCUGGCCUCUGGGAGCCCCAGGGCCUGGCUCCCAGGCCAGCCUCCCUCUUCUCAGGGUUGUGUGUCUGGAGCUGCUGUGCCGCCUGGAGCUGCAUGGAGAUACCUGUGAAAUGUUUCCAGCAGGGAGGCGGGAAGGGGCUUUGGUUUUUCAUUUUAAAUCCUGUUUUUCCAGCUUCUGUCUGCAGUUAGGUAUGUGGGUACAGACAGGUAAUAAAGACAGUGACUGGGUCCCGGUUGUGCCCUGGGUCAGCCCUCCUGCUGCAGCAGUGCCCCAGGGGCGUUGUCAGGAGGUGUAGGGACUGUGGCCUGGAGCAGGGCCAGAGGGCUGACACCUCAUCUCCUUCAGCUCUGCUGCCCUGGGGGUCCGUGCUCCCAGGGGGUCCCUGCUCCCUGGGGGUCCGUGCUCCCUGGGGGUCAGUGCUCCCUGGGGGUCUGUGCUCCCAGGGGGGUCCAUGCUCCCUGGGGGUCCCUGCUCCCUGGGGGUCUGUGCUCCCUGGGGGUCCGUGCUCCCUAGGGGGGUCCCUGCUUCCUGGGGGUCCGUGCUGGUAAGCUGCAGAGCUGAGACCCAAACCCAGGAUGGGAGGACAGUGUUUGUCAUCCCCACUGACUCACAGAAUUUCCCAAGUACUGUAAAAAUGAUGGAAAGAAAUAGCGUCCUUUUGAGCGUCUGAGAAACAGCAGCCCCUCCUGCUCCUGCUGUGUGCUGCUCUUGCAGAUCCUGAGGAAGCUGAAGAGUCUCGCCCUGGACACUGAGAUGGAGCUGGAGAGGCAGGACGAGGCCCUGGAUGGCAUCACUGCAGCCGUCGACCGGACCACCUUAACCAUCGACAAGCAUACCCGACGUGCCAAAAAACUGAC